ensembl:ncRNA mir-975 mir-975 stem loop
UUGAAUUUUUGAUUUUAAACACUUCCUACAUCCUGUAUGUGUUUUGCAUCCGGUACAGAUGUGGGAGUCGUUUGCACUCAGAGAUUUCACA